CCUACGGGAGGCAGCAGUGAGGAAUAUUGGUCAAUGGGCGUAAGCCUGAACCAGCCAAGUCGCGUGAGGGAUGAAGGUUCUAUGGAUCGUAAACCUCUUUUAUAAGGGAAUAAAGUGUGGGACGUGUCCUGUUUUGUAUGUACCUUAUGAAUAAGGAUCGGCUAACUCCGUGCCAGCAGCCGCGGUAAUACGGAGGAUCCGAGCGUUAUCCGGAUUUAUUGGGUUUAAAGGGUGCGUAGGCGGCCUUUUAAGUCAGCGGUGAAAGUUUGGGGCUCAACCAUAGAAUUGCCGUUGAUACUGGGAGGCUUGAGUAUGUUUGAGGCAGGCGGAAUGCGUGGUGUAGCGGUGAAAUGCUUAGAUAUCACGCAGAACCCCGAUUGCGAAGGCAGCCUGCCAAGCCAUGACUGACGCUGAUGCACGAAAGCGUGGGGAUCAAACAGGAUUAGAUACCCCGGUAGUC
rnacentral:rRNA from 1 species